AAUAUUGGACAAUGGGGUGAACCCUGAUCCAGCCAUGGCGCGUGUGUGGAGCAGGUCUUCGGAUUGUAAAGCACUUUAUGUUGGGAGGAAGAGUUGUAGGCUAUUACCUUGCAAUUUUGACGUUAUCAUCAGAAUAAGCCCCGGCUCACUUCGUGCCAGCCGCCGCGGUAAUUCGAAGGGUGCAAGCGUUAAUCGGAAUUACUGGGCGUAAAGCGCGCGUAGGUGGUUCGUUAAGUUGGAACAGAAAGCACCGGGCUUAACCUGGGAAUUGCGUUCAAAACUGACGAGCGAGAGUACGGUAGAGGGUAGUGGAAUUUCCUGUGUAGCGGUGAAAUGCGUAGAUAUAGGAAGGAACAUCAGUGGCGAAGGCGACUACCUGGACUGAUACUGACACUGAGGUGCGAAAGCGUGGGGAGCAAACAGG
rnacentral:rRNA from 1 species